CCCGCGGCGCAUUAGCUAGUUGGUGAGGUAAUGGCUCACCAAGGCAACGAUGCGUAGCCGACCUGAGAGGGUGAUCGGCCACACUGGGACUGAGACACGGCCCAGACUCCUACGGGAGGCAGCAGUAGGGAAUCUUCCGCAAUGGACGAAAGUCUGACGGAGCAACGCCGCGUGAGUGAUGAAGGUUUUCGGAUCGUAAAACUCUGUUGUUAGGGAAGAACAAGUGCGAGAGUAACUGCUCGCACCUUGACGGUACCUAACCAGAAAGCCACGGCUAACUACGUGCCAGCAGCCGCGGUAAUACGUAGGUGGCAAGCGUUGUCCGGAAUUAUUGGGCGUAAAGCGCGCGCAGGCGGUUUCUUAAGUCUGAUGUGAAAGCCCCCGGCUCAACCGGGGAGGGUCAUUGGAAACUGGGAAACUUGAGUGCAGAAGAGGAGAGUGGAAUUCCACGUGUAGCGGUGAAAUGCGUAGAGAUGUGGAGGAACACCAGUGGCGAAGGCGACUCUCUGGUCUGUAACUGACGCUGAGGCGCGAAAGCGUGGGGAGCGAACAGGAUUAGAUACCCUGGUAGUCCACGCCGUAAACGAUGAGUGCUAAGUGUUAGAGGGUUUCCGCCCUUUAGUGCUGCAGCUAACGCA
rnacentral:rRNA from 2 species